UGUAUCCAGGUAGCUACAGGCUUGAAGCACUUGCGUGACUAAGCUCCUAUACAGUUCUUCACCAUGACCCUGAGGAAGGAGCCCUGAGGCAGGAUCCUAUCUGGCAACUUAUCCAGGAGUGCCCGAGGCUGUUUUGAGCGGCUGUCACUCAUCCAGAAAGCCAUGAAGUUCAUUCCAGGGGUCUCCAUCAAGGGUCUCCAGGUUGGCUUCUCAUGAGAGUUCCAGGAACAGGACCCAGGCAUUUAGUAAUAGAUGCUGACCCUGAGUAUUGGGGAUAGAGGAACUGCUCCAAAGUGAGAACAUUCUGGUAGAAACUUCUCUUUGUCUGUGCCCUGGAGACCCUCUACUCCUGGAGCAGAGCAGAGUUGUGGCCUUUUCCAUUCUGGAAAAAAAGAAAGUGAACUGCCGUCCAGGUUGUGGUGGUGCACACCUUGAAUCCCAGGACUCAGGAGGUGGAGGCAGGUACAUCUUUGUGGGUUCGAGGCCUGCCUGGUCUACAGAGUGACUUCCAGGACAGCCAGGGCUACACAGAGAGACCCUGUCUCAAAAACAAAACAAAAAGAUGAGAAUGAGAUGCCUAGUGGAGACUCCUCCCUCCAGGGCGGGCGCAUCCAAACCCUGUGCUACAGACAAACCCCAGACCUGGAUAUGCUAAGCACAGACUCUCCCACCAGCCCCACGGUGGAUCCAAACGUUUGGUAAUUCUGCCAGUGACGCCUUGCUUGCCACAAGGAGGAAGAGGAAAGAGUAAGAAAUGUGGCAGCGAAGAACCUGCAGCCUUGGGCAACACUAUGGCAACCAGUCCCUGCUUGCCUUGUGAGCCUCUCAGCUAAAUUGCAGAUAAGUGUAUGGGGAGGAGACACUUUACAGGCUCCAGCCAGAGUGGGGAGGAAGCCUGGAAAAGCCUGUGAAGGGCGCUCCCAACACUGGCAAAAUUACCAGCCAUGCAUUGCAAUUCCCAGCCUCUGCAACAGGCAAAUAACCAGUCUACGGUUCCCAGAUUGAUCAAACGGUAAUUAGGCGUCAAAAGCUCGCUAAAUGCCCCUCUUUCAAAAGCUCUCAGCUAGGCAAUUUUUCUCUCACAUUUAAUAGCGACUAUUCUUGUAUUCCUUUCUGUCCAAAGUGGUCAUAAUUGUGGGGGGCCCCCCGAGGAGACAAGCGC
ensembl:lncRNA